GGGAAGGCUUCAUUCCCGAGUGGACGAGAAGAAGGAGCAACCCCUAUUCAGGGAAGAGAAUGUAUUUGACUAGACUAGCUACCGAGCUGACUCACGGAAGCUUGAAAGAAAGGGCUGAAAGACAGCUUCGGCAACAGAAACUCGAGCGGAGGAAUACGGAAGAGAAGCGGAUUCAAUCUUAGCCUAAGAGCAGUUCAGAGAAGAGAAUAAAAAGUCAACGGCCAAUGACCCCUGAUUCCUCUUAAACCGACCGAUAUGCCGAGAUGACAUCCAGCACGAGAG
rnacentral:misc_RNA from 1 species